UCCGUAGGGUGCGAGCGUUGUCCGGAAUUAUUGGGCGUAAAGAGCUCGUAGGCGGUUUGUCACGUCUGCUGUGAAAUCCCGAGGCUCAACCUCGGGCCUGCAGUGGGUACGGGCAGACUGGAGUGCGGUAGGGGAGAAUGGAAUUCCUGGUGUAGCGGUGGAAUGCGCAGAUAUCAGGAGGAACACCGAUGGCGAAGGCAGUUCUCUGGGCCGUAACUGACGCUGAGGAGCGAAAGCGUGGGGAGCAAACAGG
rnacentral:rRNA from 1 species